GACGAACCGUCCAAACGUUAUUCGGAAUCACUGGGCUUAAAGGGCGCGUAGGCUGUUUGUUAAGCGGGGUCUGAAAUCCCUCGGCUCAACCGAGGAACUGGGCUUCGAACUGGCAGACUAGAGUGAAGUAGGGGUAAGCGGAACUUGCGGUGGAGCGGUGAAAUGCUUUGAUAUCGCAAGGAACACCGGCGGCGAAGGCGGCUUACUGGGCUUCAACUGACGCUUAAGCGCGAAAGCUAGGGUAGCGAACGGGAUUAGAUACCCGUGUAGUCCCUGAGCGGGCUGGCAA
rnacentral:rRNA from 1 species